UACACGUGUAUGGCAGCGCGCAAGCAGACGCGAUGAGUUUGACGCUUUACAACAGGAGCUCUCGAUUAUUUGGCAAAACUGUUAUUUUUAAGUGUAGUGCGCUGAGUGUAUCUUGGUGUAUGAAUUGAAAUAUGAGAUUUUAGCAAGGCGUUAUUGCUUUGGUCAGCAUACACUGGUGCAAUUUCUCGAAAAUAUCUUACAAAUCUAAGAUGCAAACGCUAGAGUUUUUCGUUUCUGCUCCAGGGAAGGUGAUUCUGCACGGUGAGCAUUCUGUCGUGCAUGGACAGGUUGCUUUGGCUGUGAGUUUGAACCUGCGCACGUUCCUGCAGCUGCAGUCCACAUCAUCCGGUGAAGUGCACAUCAACCUCCCCAAUAUUGACACUUUUCUGUCCUGGGAAAUAACUGCACUGCAGUCUCUUCUGGCAGGGUGUAAAGCAGAGCAGGGUGGCCUGAAGGAACUAGAUGCAGAUCUUUUGAAGAGACUACGUGAAUUCACCAGGAUUUCAGAGGAUUCCACAGACACAAGAAGCAUGGCAGUCUUGGCCUUCCUCUAUAUGUACCUGUCUGUUUUUGCAGAGUCUCUGGCCAGUAUCACGGUGUCCGUGUGGUCAGAGUUGCCCACAGGAGCAGGUUUAGGCUCUAGUGCUGCCUAUAAUGUUUGCCUGUCUGCCGCUCUGCUGUCUGCUAGAGGAAACAUAUCAAAUCCUCUUACACCACAGCAGGAGUCAGCCAGGUGGAGUAAAGAGGAGAUGGAGCUGAUUAACAGGUGGGCGUUCAUGGGUGAGAAGAUCAUCCACGGUAACCCUUCAGGGGUGGACAACGCUGUGGGCACAUGGGGUGGCUUUUUAAGAUACCAUGCUGGGAAUAUAUCUCCACUAAGCUGGGUCCCCGUUCUGAGAAUCCUUCUCACUAACACCAAAGUCCCACGUAGCACCAAAGUGCUUGUUUCUGGAGUGAAGGACAAAAUUAACAAGUUUCCCUCCGUGUUGAAGCCAGUUCUGGAGUCCGUCAGCGCUGUGUCCUGUGUCUGUGAACAGACUCUCACAGAGAUGGCCGAGCGUGGACCUUCAGCUGAGCACUACAACAUACUGGAGGAGCUGAUUGAUAUAAACCAGCACCAUCUGAACGUGAUGGGUGUGGGUCACUCGUCUCUGGACACACUGUGUAGGGUCACUCUGGCCAGAGGCCUGCAUAGCAAACUGACAGGAGCAGGAGGAGGAGGCUGUGGAAUCACUCUCCUACGACCAGAAACAGAUACUUCAGUUAUUCAGAGCACUGUUGAGGAGCUGAAGGCCUGUGGCUUUGACUGCUGGGAGACCAGCAUCGGAGCUCCUGGAGUCCAGCAGCACUCUUCAGCUGCACUCAGUCAGCACAUACUGAAGAUCCUCAGCAGCUACUGAAACAUAGACGCCAGCACACUACUGUACUGUAUGCAUCAUUGUUGCUGUUAGCACAGAUGCUCAUUGCUGCUGUUACUCUGGAUCCUGGUUCAAUAAAUGGAUCACAUUUCCGACCAGAACUAGCACAGCUUGGAGCAUUUUGGACUGAGUACAGCCGUUGUAUUAUUGUCACUAAACCCAAAGUAAUUACUUUUCAGUUCUUUGCACUUUGUCAGAAUAUUUUGCACCGGAACGGUUUUGAAGCCAAGGAGGGGAUGCUGGGACGCAUUUGGCUGUCGACCAGACGCAGUCUAAGUUGAUCUGUGAAGCGCGGUGAUGAAAUAAACGCUCUGCACUUAGAGCGGAGCACAUUUCCCCACAGUCCCAGGAGAGGGGUGUAAUUUUAGUGGUGUUUUGUGAGGAACAGAUAAAGAGGGCUAUCUUCAGCACACAAGACCUGGAGCUAGAGAAUAGGAAAUGGAUUUGCACUGAGAUGAAUGUGUUCCUGUAAACCAAAGGCCGGCAGAAGGACAGAGCCCCUUAUGCUUGAACAAGUCAACUUUGAGAAGACCCAGGGAGGUCAGAGACACCUUAAAAAGAUGCAUAAUACAGUAUGUGAACUGGGAUGCAUGGUCCGUUUGGAGUAAUUCACUUCCAAUGACGAGUCUGCACUCUGGGCCACAUGAUCAUCAUCCUCACCUUUACUCCCGAGCUUCUAUUGCAUCCUCUGUCUUCUCUGGACUCUCUGGCUGUCUGGGGUGUGACCCUGCAGAAGUCACUGCCCUCUCCCUGACAGUCCAUCACUGCACGGUGCCGCCAAAGCAGGAUUCUACCCGCCGGAGACAGAGUGUGAUUGUGAGCAGUGUAAGAAUGGCCCUGUCACACUCGAUAAGCCGGCAGGACGCCCUGAGAUGGGGACAUAUGGCAUGUUUGACAGGGAAAGAGAGGGUGUGAAUGGCACAGAAUGAUAAAAUGGUGUUUUUUCCCCCUUUGGCAAUGUCAUGCUUUCAGGGAAGAGAAGCGUGCAGAGGGGCUGACCGCUAUUCAGCCAGGCGCAAGACCGACUCAAGCCCUCAACUGACAUCUCCUUCAAGGUCCUGAGGUUCCCUCUCUCCUCUUUUUUUAUAUCUCACUCUUUCUUUCUGUCUUUCUUCUUCUUCUUCUUUCUCUGUCUCCCUGCUGACUGGUGGAUUUGAAUGGCACACAUCACACAAGAUCCCAUCAAACCCUGAAGUCUCUUCAUUGUCACUGGCUGUCAGGUUCAGUUAUUUCAUAUCAAGUUAAUGUUAGAACAAAAAUGGGCUAAAUGAAUAUGAUCAAUGUUAUUCUGCUGUUUUAACCUGCAUAUUUCUCUUGAUAUUGUUGAUAUUGACUAUAUGUCAUAAUUUAACUCUGGGGGAAAA